rnacentral:rRNA from 1 species
UACGUAGGGUGCGAGCGUUGUCCGGAAUUAUUGGGCGUAAAGAGCUUGUAGGUGGUUUGUCGCGUCUGCUGUGAAAAUCCGAGGCUCAACCUCGGACUUGCAGUGGGUACGGGCAGACUAGAGUGUGGUAGGGGAGACUGGAAUUCCUGGUGUAGCGGUGGAAUGCGCAGAUAUCAGGAGGAACACCGAUGGCGAAGGCAGCUCGCUGGGACGUUACUGACACUGAGGCGCGAAAGCGUGGGGAGCGAACAGG